rnacentral:rRNA from 1 species
UACAGAGGUCUCAACCGUUGUUCGGAUUCAUUGGGCGUAAAGGGUGCGUAGGCGGUCGUGCAAGUCGGAUGUGAAAUCUCAGGGCUCAACCCUGAAACUGCAUUCGAUACUGCGCGGCUAGAGUGCUGGAGGGGAGACUGGAAUUUACGGUGUAGCAGUGAAAUGCGUAGAUAUCGUAAGGAAGACCAGUGGCGAAGGCGAGUAGCUGGACAGCAACUGACGCUGAGGCACGAAGGCCAGGGGAGCAAACGGG